rnacentral:rRNA from 1 species
AUUGAACGCUGGCGGCAUGCCUUACACAUGCAAGUCGAACGGCAGCGCGGGGCAACUUGGCGGCGAGUGGCGAACGGGUGAGUAAAAUAUCGGAACAUACCCUAGAGUGGGGGAUAACGUAGCGAAAGUUACGCUAAUACCGCAUACGCACUAAGGUGGAAAGUGGGGGAUCUUCGGACCUCAUGCUCAUGGAGUGGCCGAUAUCUGAUUAGCUAGUUGGUGAGGUAAAGGCUCACCAAGGCGACGAUCAGUAGCUGGUUUGAGAGAACGACCAGCCACACUGGAACUGAGACACGGUCCAGACUCCUACGGGAGGCAGCAGUGGGGAAUUUUGGACAAUGGGGGCAACCCUGAUCCAGCAAUGCCGCGUGCGUGAAGAAGGCCUU